UACGUAGGGUGCGAGCGUUAAUCGGAAUUACUGGGCGUAAAGCGUGCGUAGGCGGUCCGCGAAGUCUGAUGUGAAAGCCCCGGGCUCAACCUGGGAACUGCAUUGGAAACUAACGGGCUCGAGUGUGGCAGAGGGGGGUGGAAUUCCACGUGUAGCAGUGAAAUGCGUAGAGAUGUGGAGGAACACCGGUGGCGAAGGCGGCAUCCUGGACCGGUAUUGACGCUGAUGCGCGAAAGCCAGGGGAGCAAACGGG
rnacentral:rRNA from 1 species